rnacentral:rRNA from 1 species
UACAGAGGUCUCGAGCGUUAGGCGGAAUCACUGGGCUUAAAGCGCGUGUAGGCGGAUCGUUAAGUACCUUGUGAAAUCCCACGGCUUAACCGUGGAACUGCUGGGUAUACUGGCGGUCUUGUGCCAUCUAGGGGCCUGCGGAACAAACGGUGGAGCGGUGAAAUGCGUAGAUAUCGUUUGGAACGCCAAUGGUGAAAACAGCAGGCUGGGGAUGUGCAGAC